rnacentral:rRNA from 1 species
UACGUAGGGAGCAAGCGUUGUCCGGAAUCAUUGGGCGUAAAGCGCGUGUAGGCGGCUCGGUAAGUCCGCUGUGAAAGUCGGGGCUCAACCCUCGGAUGCCGGUGGAUACUGUCGGGCUAGAGUACGGAAGAGGCGAGUGGAAUUCCUGGUGUAGCGGUGAAAUGCGUAGAUAUCAGGAGGAACACCGGUGGCGAAGGCGGCUCUCUGGACGGUGACUGACGCUGAGACGCGAAAGCGUGGGGAGCAAACAGG